rnacentral:snRNA from 1 species
AUACUUACCUGGCAGGGUAGACACCAUGAUCAAGAAGGUGGUUCACCCAGGGUGAGGCUCGGCCAUUGCACUCUGGUCUCGACUGCAUAAUUUAUGGUAGUGGGGAACUGUGUUCGCACUCUCCCCUG